GAUGAACGCUGGCGGCGUGCCUAAUACAUGCAAGUCGAGCGAACAGACGAGGAGCUUGCUCCUCUGACGUUAGCGGCGGACGGGUGAGUAACACGUGGAUAACCUACCUAUAAGACUGGGAUAACUUCGGGAAACCGGAGCUAAUACCGGAUAAAAUAUUGAACGGCAUGGUUCAAUAGUGAAAGACGGUUUUGCGGUCACUUAUAGAUGGAUCCGCGCCGCAUUAGCUAGUUGGUAAGGUAACGGCUUACCAAGGCAACGAUGCGUAGCCGACCUGAGAGGGUGAUCGGCCACACUGGAACUGAGACACGGUCCAGACUCCUACGGGAGGCAGCAGUAGGGAAUCUUCCGCAAUGGGCGAAAGCCUGACGGAGCAACGCCGCGUGAGUGAUGAAGGUCUUCGGAUCGUAAAACUCUGUUAUUAGGGAAGAACAAAUGUGUAAGUAACUAUGCACGUCUUGACGGUACCUAAUCAGAAAGCCACGGCUAACUACGUG
rnacentral:rRNA from 1 species